GGUGAGAUGGCUCAGUGGUUAAGAGCACUGGUGACUCUUCCAGAGGCCCUGGGUUUAAUUCCCAGCACCC
rnacentral:tRNA from 1 species